GACGAACGCUUGCGGCGUGCUUAACACAUGCAAGUCGAACGGAAAGGCCCUGCUUUUGUGGGGUGCUCGAGUGGCGAACGGGUGAGUAACACGUGAGUAACCUGCCCUUGACUUUGGGAUAACUUCAGGAAACUGGGGCUAAUACCGGAUAGGAGCUCCUGCUGCAUGGUGGGGGUUGGAAAGUUUCGGCGGUUGGGGAUGGACUCGCGGCUUAUCAGCUUGUUGGUGGGGUAGUGGCUUACCAAGGCUUUGACGGGUAGCCGGCCUGAGAGGGUGACCGGCCACAUUGGGACUGAGAUACGGCCCAGACUCCUACGGGAGGCAGCAGUGGGGAAUAUUGCACAAUGGGCGGAAGCCUGAUGCAGCAACGCCGCGUGCGGGAUGACGGCCUUCGGGUUGUAAACCGCUUUCGCCUGUGACGAAGCGUGAGUGACGGUAAUGGGUAAAGAAGCACCGGCUAACUACGUGCCAGCAGCCGCGGUGAUACGUAGGGUGCGAGCGUUGUCCGGAUUUAUUGGGCGUAAAGGGCUCGUAGGUGGUUGAUCGCGUCGGAAGUGUAAUCUUGGGGCUUAACCCUGAGCGUGCUUUCGAUACGGGUUGACUUGAGGAAGGUAGGGGAGAAUGGAAUUCCUGGUGGAGCGGUGGAAUGCGCAAAUAUCAGGAGGAACACCAGUGGCGAAGGCGGUUCUCUGGGCCUUUCCUGACGCUGAGGAGCGAAAGCGUGGGGAGCGAACAGGCUUAAAUACCCUGGUAGUCCACGCUGUAAACGGUGGGUACUAGGUGUGGGGUCCAUUCCACGGGUUCCGUGCCGUAGCUAACGCUUUAAGUACCCCGCCUGGGGAGUACGGCCGCAAGGCUAAAACUCAAAGGAAUUGACGGGGCCCCGCACAAGCGGCGGAGCAUGCGGAUUAAUUCGAUGCAACGCGUAGAACCUUACCUGGGUUUGACAUGGAUCGGGAGUGCUCAGAGAUGGGUGUGCCUCUUUUGGGGUCGGUUCACAGGUGGUGCAUGGCUGUCGUCAGCUCGUGUCGUGAGAUGUUGGGUUAAGUCCCGCAACGAGCGCAACCCUUGUUCACUGUUGCCAGCACGUUAUGGUGGGGACUCAGUGGAGACCGCCGGGGCCAACUCGGAGGAAGGUGGGGAUGACGUCAAGUCAUCAUGCCCCUUAUGUCCAGGGCUUCACGCAUGCUACAAUGGCUGGUACAGAGAGUGGCGAGCCUGUGAGGGUGAGCGAAUCUCGGAAAGCCGGUCUCAGUUCGGAUUGGGGUCUGCAACUCGACCUCAUGAAGUCGGAGUCGCUAGUAAUCGCAGAUCAGCAACGCUGCGGUGAAUACGUUCCCGGGGCU
rnacentral:rRNA from 1 species